AGAAUCAACGCUGGCGGCGUGCCUAACACAUGCAAGUCGAACGAGAAAGUGGAGCAAUCCAUGAGUAAAGUGGCGCACGGGUGAGUAACACGUGACUAACCUACCCUUGAGUGGGGAUAACCUAGGGAAACCUGGGCUAAUACCGCAUAAUACCUUCGGGUCAAAGGAGCAAUUCGCUUAAGGAGGGGUCGCGGCCGAUUAGUUAGUUGGCGGGGUAAUGGCCCACCAAGACUGUGAUCGGUAUCCGG
rnacentral:rRNA from 1 species